CGAGUCCCCAUGCUGUGUGCAGUGCCCAUUGCCCUGGGAAACUGCCUCUUCUCUCGACAGCUGGACUGCCAUUUGUAUGGCUUCAGUCGCAGUCAUUUUGAAAGCAGCAAACCUACAUCUUGGUCUUAAUUAUUCAAAUAGCAGCUUUUCAGCAAUGUUCAAAUAAAUACUAAGGCUUCCCUGACAAAGCAGCACAGAACUUGUGAAUGCUGCAGUGAAAGGGAGCUCUGGAGUAGCAUACAGAGAGGCUAUUUGUACCAGCUCUUUGGAAAUUAGACACGGUGAGAUGAUAUUUCCUUAUAGCAAUCUUGGGAAGCUCAUCCGGAGCUGAUAGCAAUCAUCUCCUAAGAAAAAAGUGUGCUAACCUCUGGUAAAUAUAUCUCUUGCAAGAAGAAAAAUAAUCUCAUGAGAGGUACUGCCUGGCUUCAAGGAAAGGAGCCUGAGCAAAUGUGCCCGGUGUUUUGGCCUUUCCAGCCAACAAGGCAUGAAGACAGGGAGAUGAAAAGGCAGAUCUUUCCUGUCACAUGAGAGCUGCUAGAGGGGAAAUGAACUGACCCAAAGCAUUGUGUUUGCCCUUGUGUUAGAGGUCUAAUCUAAACAGAUUCAGGGGGAAACUGAGAAGUGAGAUGGUUCCCUGGAAAACCUAUGGCACUGUGGAACAUGUUAUGGAUGUAGCUGUAGCUUCUCCCUCAGGGCAAGCUCUUUCUUGCUGUGCCUCUCCAUUCCAUGCCAUGCGGCGGAUGUCUUUCCUCAGGGAGACAACUCCAACCUUGCAUUGUCUUUGUGAUGAGUGGAAGAUGGAGCAACCAAGCCAACUACUGUUAGUCAAAGGGACAUCUGAUAACCAACAGGUAAUUUAGGGCUACAUUAGAAGCACAGUGUCUGAAUAUUGUGAUCCUUCUUUAGCUUGCAAGAGCUAUCAUUGUCCAGGUCAUCCCUGACACCUGCUAGGCUCCUAAGGAUCCUGACUUUAGGUGCAAAUCCCUCCUUUCUUUAACUGACUCUAUCAGCCAUAUUAAGACUUGAGGUUCUGCACCAGGAGAAGUGCAUCCACCUUGAUUUGUAUAAGACUGCUCGCUGUGCUGAAUUCCAUGGUAUGAUAGGCCAUUCACAGACUGCCUGCUACAGAGUUGCCCAGCCACCCUUUUCCUCAUGUUUCUCUCCCCAUUCCUGGUGCUCACUUUGAACCUCACCCUUCAGUUACAUCGCCCUGCUUUGCUAUGGGUUCUGGGAAUGCAGCAUCACCACAAAGGGGUGUUUGGAUCCGGAACGGAGCAGCCUGCCUCUCCUUGGCUACCAGCAUGCAGGAGCAUCCUGAUUACUGCGGCUUUUCCAUGUGGGAUUAGCGACGUGUCUUCCAACUACACGUCUCUACAAGGUGUUUCAUUUCAGCCUUUAAAUGCCAUCGGAGGGCUCCACUUGGAUGCUUCAUCAGGACAACCUGUGGAGGCUUUUUCAACCUCCAUGUGAGCAGAGGGACAGCCACUGCCUGUUGAAAUUGGCUGGGACACAUGUACAUGCCCAAAUGUGAUGUCAGCUUGGACACAGCUGCAGAAGAAACAAAGCAGCAAGGAACCACGUGCCCGCUGCAGAUCUGGCAGAGAACAUGAGCUGCUUGCUUUUGUUUCUGCAUAGAGUGGGAUCAGAGCAAAGGCACACCUGAAAG